rnacentral:rRNA from 1 species
CCUACGGGGUGCAGCAGUGGGGGAUAUUGCACAAUGGGGGGAACCCUGAUGCAGCGACGCCGCGUGGGUGAAGAAGCGCCUCGGCGCGUAAAGCCCUGUCAGCAGGGAAGAAAAUGACGGUACCUGAAGAAGAAGCCCCGGCUAACUACGUGCCAGUAGCCGCGGUAAUACGUAGGGGGCAAGCGUUAUCCGGAUUUACUGGGUGUAAAGGGAGCGUAGACGGUUAUGCAAGUCUGAAGUGAAAGCCCAAGGCUCAACCAUGGGACUGCUUUGGAAACUGUAAAACUGGAGUGCAGGAGAGGUAAGCGGAAUUCCUAGUGUAGCGGUGAGAUGCGUAGAUAUUAGGAGGAACACCAGUGGCGAAGGCGGCUUACUGGACUGUAACUGACGUUGAGGCUCGAAGGCGUGGGGAGCAAACAGGAUUAGAUACCCCUGUAGUC